rnacentral:rRNA from 1 species
UUCAUUUGUGACUGAGCGGCGGACGGGUGAGUAACGCGUGAGUAACCUGCCUCAUACAGGGGAAUAACAGUUAGAAAUGACUGCUAAUGCCGCAUAAGCGCACAGGACCACAUGGUCUGGUGUGAAAAACUCCGGUGGUAUGAGAUGGACUCGCGUCUGAUUAGCUGGUUGGUGAGGUAACGGCCCACCAAGGCGACGAUCAGUAGCCGGCCUGAGAGGGUGACCGGCCACAUUGGGACUGAGACACGGCCCAAACUCC